GAAUAUAGGGCAAUGGGCGAAAGCCUGAGCCAGCAACGCCGCGUGAAGGAAGAAGGUGUUCGGAUUGUAAACUUCUGCCCUCAGGGAAGAAGGAAGUGACGGUACCUGAGCAGGUAGCCCCUGCUAACUACGUGCAAGCAGCCGCGGUAAUACGCAGGGGGCGAGCGUUGUCCGGAGAGACUGGGCGUAACGGGCGCGUAGACGGCUUUUUAAGUCGGGAGUGAAAGUCCUGCUUUCAAGGUGGGAAUUGCUUUGGAGACUGGAAGGCUGGAGUGCGGAAGAGGUAAGUGGAAUUCCCAGUGUAGCGGUGAAAUGCGUAGAGAUUGGGAAGAACACCAGUGGCGAAGGCGACUUACUGGGCCGUAACUGACGUUGAUGCGCGAAAGCGUGGGGAGCGAACA
rnacentral:rRNA from 1 species